CAUNGGCUCAACCAAUGUAUGCUUUGGAAACUGUUAGACUUGAGUGCAGAAGGGGAGAGUGGAAUUCCAUGUGUAGCGGUGAAAUGCGUAGAUAUAUGGAGGAACACCGGUGGCGAAAGCGGCUCUCUGGUCUGUCACUGACGCUGAGGCUCGAAAGCGUGGGUAGCGANCAGGAUUAGAUACCCUGGUAGUCCACGCCGUAAACGAUGAGUGCUAGGUGUUAGGUCCUUUCCGGGACUUAGUGCCGCAGCUAACGCAAUAAGCACUCCGCCUGGGGAGUACGACCGCAAGGUUGAAACUCAAAGGAAUUGACGGGGGCCCGCACAAGCGGUGGAGCAUGUGGUUUAAUUCGAAGCAACGCGAAGAACCUUACCAGGUCUUGACAUCCCGAUGCCCGCUCUAGAGAUAGAGUUUUUCUUCGGAACAUCGGAGACAGGUGGUGCAUGGUUGUCGUCAGCUCGUGUCGUGAGAUGUAGGGUUAAGUCCCGCAACGAGCGCAACCCUUAUUGUUAGUUGCCAUCAUUGAGUUGGGCACUCUAGCGAGACUGCCGGUAAUAAACCGGAGGAAGGUGGGGAUGACGUCAAAUCAUCAUGCCCCUUAUGACCUGGGCUACACACGUGCUACAAUGGUUGGUACAACGAGUCGCAAGCCGGUGACGGCAAGCUAAUCUCUGAAAGCCAAUCUCAGUUCGGAUUGUAGGCUGCAACUCGCCUACAUGAAGUCGGAAUCGCUAGUAAUCGCGGAUCAGCACGCCGCGGUGAAUACGUUCCCGGGCCUUGUACACACCGCCCGUCACACCACGAGAGUUUGUAACACCCAAAGUCGGUGAGGUAACCAUAUAGGAGCCA
rnacentral:rRNA from 1 species